AGCGAACGCUGGCGGCAGGCUUAGCACAUGCAAGUCGAGCGGGCAUCCUUGUGGUGUCAGCGGCAGACGGGUGAGUAACGCGUGGGAACGUGCCCUUCGGUUCGGAAUAACUCAGGGAAACUUGAGCUAAUACCGGAUACGUGCGAGAGCAGAAAGGUUUAUCUGCCGAAGGAUCGGCCCGCGUCUGAUUAGCUAGUUGGUGAGGUUACGGCUCACCAAGGCGACGAUCAGUAGCUGGUCUGAGAGGAUGAUCAGCCACACUGGGACUGAGACACGGCCCAGACUCCUACGGGAGGCAGCAGUGGGGAAUAUUGGACAAUGGGGGCAACCCUGAUCCAGCCAUGCCGCGUGAGUGAUGACGGCCUUAGGGUUGUAAAGCUCUUUUCUCCGGGACGAUAAUGACGGUACCGGAGGAAUAAGCCCCGGCUAACUUCGUG
rnacentral:rRNA from 1 species